GACGAACGCUGGCGGCGUGCUUAACACAUGCAAGUCGAACGGGCCCGCCCCUGUUUUUGGGGGUGGGUUGAGUGGCGAACGGGUGAGUAUCACGUGAGUAACCUGCCCCCUGCUCCUGGAUAACUGCUUGAAAGGGCGGCUAAUACGGGGUGUGCCGGCUGGUCCGCAUGGGCCUGGUCGGGAUAGUUUCAUCUUCGGGUGUUUCGGUGGGGGAUGGGCUCGCGGCCUAUCAGCUUGUUGGUGGGGUGAUGGCCCACCAAGGCGGUGACGGGUAGCCGGCCUGAGAGGGUGGGCGGCCACACUGGGACUGAGACACGGCCCAGACUACUGCGGGAGGCAGCAGUGGGGGGUAUUGCACAAUGGGCGGAAGCCUGAUGCAGCGACGUCGCGUGAGGGAUGGAGGCCUUCGGGUGGUGAACCUCUUUCUCCGGUGGUGAAGGCCCUGUCCGUUGCGGCGGGGUUGACGGUAGCCGGGUAUGAAGCGCCGGCUAACUACGUG
rnacentral:rRNA from 1 species